GUAGGUGGCAAGCGUUGUCCGGAAUUAUUGGGCGUAAAGCGCGCGCAGGCGGUUCGUUUAAGUCUGAUGUGAAAGCCCACGGGCUCAACCGUGGAGGGUCAUUGGAAACUGGAGAACUUGAGUACAGAAGAGGAAAGCGGAAUUCCACGUGUAGCGGUGAAAUGCGUAGAGAUGUGGAGGAACACCAGUGGCGAAGGCGGCUUUCUGGUCUGUAACUGACGCUGAGGCGCGAAAGCGUGGGGAGCAAACAGGAUUAGAUACCCUGGUAGUCCACGCCGUAAACGAUGAGUGCUAAGUGUUAGGGGGUUUCCGCCCCUUAGUGCUGCAGCUAACGCAUUAAGCACUCCGCCUGGGGAGUACGGCCGCAAAGGCUG
rnacentral:rRNA from 1 species